rnacentral:tRNA from 1 species
GUAGAGGUGCCAGAAUUUUAUGGAAUUAAUUUAGGUUUAAUUUAUGACUUUAAGUCUCUCUAUU